rnacentral:rRNA from 1 species
UGGGGAAUAUUGGACAAUGGGCGGAAGCCUGAUCCAGCAACGCCGCGUGAGGGAUGACGGCCUUCGGGUUGUAAACCUCUUUCAGCACAGACGAAGCGAAAGUGACGGUAUGUGCAGAAGAAGCACCGGCCAACUACGUGCCAGCAGCCGCGGUAAUACGUAGGGUGCGAGCGUUGUCCGGAAUUAUUGGGCGUAAAGGGCUCGUAGGCGGUUUGUCGCGUCGGGAGUGAAAACACACAGCUUAACUGUGUGCUUGCUUCCGAUACGGGCAGACUAGAGGUAUGCAGGGGAGAACGGAAUUCCUGGUGUAGCGGUGAAAUGCGCAGAUAUCAGGAGGAACACCGGUGGCGAAGGCGGUUCUCUGGGCAUUACCUGACGCUGAGGAGCGAAAGUGUGGGGAGCGAACAGG